CCUGACUUGCCAUGGUUUCUUUCCUCCUCACCUGAGAAGACCUGAAGCCAGUCCUCUCUGCAACCAGUCCCCGCUGCCAUCCCGCCACCAGCCCGGCAAAGGACUUCGGAUCAGGGCGGAAGGCCGGACGAGGAGGUCUGGCCGCGACUAACCCGCGCCCGCCGGCCUUCGCCGCCGUCUAACCUCCACCACUGCCCGCGAAUCCUGUGCGGGGGGAGAAGUUGCCUCCCCACAUCCAUCCACAACCCAAAGUAUCAAAAGCGCGGCGACUCCCAGCAAACUUUCUUCCGGGCGCCCCGCCGGGUGCCAGGCGGACCUGGGCGACUGACAGAAGCCGGAGAGGACAGAAGAGAGGGGUCCAGCCCAUGCGCCUUUGCCCCCGACAGGAGGCAGGCAGAUCCCGCGACCGGGCUCAGGGGGCGCCCUGCAGGGGCCCAAAAAGCCCUGGCGGGGCUCCAGCGCCCAGCCCCGGGCAGUACGUGCGCUCGGGCAGGCGCGCCCACCCCUCCCCCUGCGCGCCCGCCUCCCCGCCCCCCGGAGCAGCCAGCCCACCCGGCCCCGGCGGGGCGCCCGGGCUCACCUUUCAUCGCUGCGAUCACAAAAUACAUCAUUUAAGCCGCGGUGCGGAGAGCGCAGGGAGAGCGGAUGGUCCGACCCCGGAGCCCCCUCUGCCGCCGCCGCCGCGCCGCCGCCGCCUGAGCCACAGCAGCAGCUGCCGCAGCUGCCCGUCCGCCGAGAGCCAUCCCGAGCCAUAAGAGGCUCCAUGUGACCGGCUGACAUCACGGCCGCCGCUCUGUUUACACCGCGCCCCUCCGGUUCCUCCCCGGCCGGGAGGCGGGCGGCGGGAGGCGGGGGCGCCCUAGCGCCGCGCCCCGCCCCGCCCCCCCAGGCAGGUGAGCGGCGGCGGCUCCCGGGCGCACCCGCGCUGGCGCUGCCCUCCCACGCCCCCGGCCCGCACCCGGGCCCCCGGCCUUCUCCUCGCCUCCCUGGGCACCUGUGGCCGCCCGGGCGCUUUCGGCGUGCAGCGCCCGGAAGAUCGCGCGUCUACUUUCUCCCGCACCUCUUGGGCUAGAGGGGCGCAACCAGACGCUACUUUCCUGCUCUCUUUCCGGAUCUCCCAGGGGUGAUAACUGUGCCAACUCGUUGGCGGAAAAGAGGGGUUUGUUCGGUCUGGCGCGGGGGCGGGGGGUGUUGUAGUCACCCUCACUUCCAAUUUCCCAGAUCACCCCAGCUUUAUUCGGAAGGUAAAGCCCCCUCCGGGGGCCGUGGAGAACGCAGUCAUCCGGACUGCUCAGGGAGUGGAGUAAGCGCCUCCUCAGUAAGAUCCUGGGAGGCUCGGCCUGGGAAGGAGGAACUCCGCCCACCCAGACGAUGAUAUUUCUCAUCACACCUACACCUAAGGUCCUGGUUUACACCUCUCCCUUCCCCCAGGACCACUGAUACCUGGAAGGAGAGCAGAAAACUCUGUGUGAAUCACCUAAAUGAACUCGUCGCCAGCCGAUUUGAGCCACUAAUUUCCCAGGCUCUUCCAUAUAUCCACCAUUCUCUCCAGAGAACCAAUCUACAAGUGGAAAAGGUUCUAGUUUUCAUACCCUAAAAAUGAGAUGUUGUGGUACUUUGGACAGGAAAAACAAAAAAGAAAAAAACAACAGCAACAAAAAAGCAAACAACCUCUAAAGGUCAACUUUGUGAAUUUUAACUUGCAGCUAAGACCUAAUUCCUUCCAAACAAUCAUUUUUACUGGUCUUGUGGAAACUUAAAUCAUGAUAUUAUUGUCAGAUGAAUCUCUUUACUAUGAAUUUCAGAUGCUACAUACCCAUAGUCUGUGUUAUUUAAAAUUUCUGCAGGCUUGUCAACAGUAUUGAGUGUAGCAGAAAAAAUUAUCAAAAGCCAAGUUUGUUACCUACUCCAGUUCCUUCACACAAUUUCAACUCUGCUUUCUUUUCUGAUGGCCUGUGUCUCCAUUUACAACGCAAAUACUAGAUGGUUAUUAGUUGUUGCAUUCAUGGUAGUUAAACAAGGAGAGUCCUAACAUUUUUUCCCAUAUAACCGAGUUGUCCUUGACUCUGAGUUGGCCCAUAAUUUAAAACACAUGCAGACAAUCAGCACUGGAAAAACUAGGAUUCAUACACUCCCACCCCCGCAUCCCCCUUCAAGGCAAAAUUUACAGAGCGCUCUGAUUUAGAAGGUCAAAAAAAAAAAAAUUCAUCGUACAUUAAAUCAAGCUGCAGCUUUAUAAAAGUUUGAUUUCAACUAAAGUCAUCCCAACACAGUUUUUUUCUUUAGAGUUUUCCCCAAAUAAAACCACAAAAAUAAGAAAUCCUAAAAACGUGGAGUCAAGAUCUACCCAUGUUAACUCAGCUGCGCAGCCAUAGCGAAGUGGACAAGGGUUUCAAAUGAAUCAACCAUACCCACUGUGAUGUUUAUAAUGAUGAAAUUAAGUCACACCACGUUCCCAUGAUGCAACUGCAUCUUCCAGUGAGGCAACACCCCUCAGUUACACUGACACUAUCCUUCAUAUUUGGUUCUUGAUUUCCCUCAUCCUAACGACUUUAACAAGGAUGGGUAAUGCCAAGCUGUCCUGUUGGUAGGUCCUGGAUAUGAUUUUCUAUCCUUUGUAUUGUUAAAGGAUGGAAAAACAUCAGAGAGUGCCUGCUCAUAGGGGUGUUUGUCCAUACUCGCUGCAAACGAAUCCAGAUAUACCACUCUGAAAAUUCAGUGUUACUUUAAAACAGCAUGCUGCUUUAGAAAAUAAUGCUUUGAAAAUGACCAAAUCCAUUUGGUCUGCCUGUCAGACAUCUGACUCCAAGGUAAAUAGUCUUACAUUACUAGUAAUUGGUAUUUAUUUCCAGGCCAUUUCAAAUGAAAUCGGUAAUCGGGAAUGACAUGUAACAUGACAUGUGCUCCUGCAAUUACAAGAAGAAUCAUUCAUCCUAUAGAUAUGUCCCCAAUAGAAAUAUAUUCUCACAAUACUUAUUUGAAAUAUUUACACAUUUAUUUAACAAAGACAUUUCCAGGAUAAUGUAAUAUUGACCUUGCCCUUUAGAAAUGUAUUUCAUUCUCACCCUACAACUAAUGAGCAACAGAAUUUCAGAUAUUGUCGUAACCUUCCUGUGUGGCUAGAUGCUAUUUGUAAUACAUGCCUCUAAUAAAUGUAUUCUUUUAUUUUCAA